GAUGAACGCUAGCGGCAGGCUUAACACAUGCAAGUCGAGGGGCGAGCAUAAUGGAUAGCAAUAUCUAUGGUGGCGACCGGCGCACGGGUGCGUAACGCGUAUGCAACCUACCUUUAACAGGGGGAUAACACUGAGAAAUUGGUACUAAUACCCCAUAAUAUCAUAGAAGGCAUCUUUUAUGGUUGAAAAUUCCGAUGGUUAGAGAUGGGCAUGCGUUGUAUUAGCUAGUUGGUGGGGUAACGGCCUACCAAGGCGACGAUCAGUAGCCGGUCUGAGAGGAUGAACGGCCACAUUGGAACUGAGACACGGUCCAG
rnacentral:rRNA from 1 species